UUGCCCCUGUCUGAAUGAGCCAAAUUGUAAACCACGAACUGUGAACUCUGGCCCCUAGAUCAGAAUGGAGCUCACUGGCUUGUCAGAGCUGGCUGGCGCUUGGUAACUCUCUUCCCGGGGGAGGGUUGUCGCAGUGCUUUCAGCUCUCCACGGAAUGGACGGAGGUGGUCCCGGGGUCAGCUCCGAGAGGCCAGAUGGCGCAAGCUCGGGUCUCACGUGCUCUACUGUAGUUUUCAGCGUUUAGCUGUCAAAGUAAUUGGACCCUGUGGCCAGAAGUGCAGCAUAUUGUAUUUUUACCCUUAACCCUGGAAAGACCGUGGACUGACUCCUCUCUGCAGGUACCUAGAGGCUUCUGGCAUGCUUCGUGGCAUUGCCUCACCACCCUCCACCUUUACUCACCCUGCAGGAGGGCACAUGGCUCCUAGGGACGUGACUGCUGCCAACGCGAGCAACCUCAGCUGAAGAUACCAGUGCCACAUGGCCACCCCGGUUUAUGUGUUUAUUUGAGAGAGAGAGAGAGAGCACCGGAGCAGGAGCAGGAAGGGCAGAGGGAGAGGAAGAGAGGACGCUGACUCCGUGCAGAGCUCCAGCUGGACUCUGGGCUCAAUCCCACGACCUGUGAGCUCAUGACCUGAGCCAAAACCAAGAGCUGGACACCCAGCUGUCUGUGUCACCCAGGCUCUCCCUUCAUGGUCUUUUUUAGGCCAGCCUCUAUCCUGAUCUAUGGGCAAAAUAUGUUCCCAAGUGUGAGUGAAUCCAACAUUCCACAUAUGAAUGAUGAUGAUUCAGCAAAGAUUCCAGCCCGUACCAUUGGAGGAUCCCGUGGACCUGGGCACCAAGGAGUUUCAAUCAAAUCACCUAUUAGCACGUUAAUGUAAUACCAUGCUCUGGUCUCUAACUGCACAGAAUCCCUGAUGGACCAACAAAUUUAGGUGAACCUGAGAUCUGGCAGCCACUGGUAAAGGCAUGACAGCGAGGCUGGGACCUCACAGGAUUGAGGCGUCUUCUUGGGGAGAGGCAGAGCAGAGAUAGCAGGGCGCACGUGUCCUAGUGUUCCACCAUCAACCUGUUCAGGCUCUGGAGACAUUCAAGAGCUUCCUGAAGAGCACCUCCUUCUUGUGAUCUUCCUCAGCUGUGGAGUGACAGGAAACCUUUCCUGGCUCAUAUCCUGCCUCCCGGAGCUGAUGGGAGGGAUCCAAUUCUUGACAUCGCUUUGGAAAGAGUACACCUCAACACAGGUUGCACUUGGAGAGGCUUUCUCACAUAAAGAUAACUUUGAAAGCUACUUCCCCACACCUCUAACUAUCCCCCCUUCUGUUUUUGUCUAUUGUCUGCAUCAAGAUGGCAGGACUAGAUAUUGUGUGUGAUCAACAGCCUAAUAAAUAAGAAAUGAUUUG